rnacentral:lncRNA from 1 species
UUUCAUCUAGAGUUUUGAAAAGGAUUUUAUUAUGAGUUUUAUUAGGGGUUCUACCAAGGUUUUAUCAAAUAACGACCGGAGGAUCGUCAGAGUCCUACCCAAUUUCAAUAACAUGAUCGGGUGAUCAUAGGAAUUGUUUGCAAAUUUCACUCAAUUGGACUGAAAUUAAUCGCCAGGGUAUUAUUGGGGUUCCAUCAAAG